rnacentral:rRNA from 1 species
UACGAAGGGUGCGAGCGUUGUUCGGAUUUACUGGGCGUAAAGGGCGCGUAGGCGGCCCUCUUAGUCGCGUGUGAAAGCCCCGGGCUCAACCUGGGAAUUGCGCGCGAAACGGGGGGGCUUGAGUUCGGGAGAGGAGCGUGGAAUUCCCAGUGUAGAGGUGAAAUUCGUAGAUAUUGGGAAGAACACCGGUGGCGAAGGCGGCGCUCUGGACCGAGACUGACGCUGAGGCGCGAAAGCGUGGGGAGCAAACAGG